rnacentral:lncRNA from 1 species
GAGGUCGGUGAUGGGAGUGAGGAGGCAGGCCACCCUAGUUUUGUCCAGAACAAGCGGGCAAAGCUGCAGUUGGAGAACAGAUGUUCGGCAUCCUCCUCUCCUUGGUGGCAAAGUUUACACACGGCCGGAGAUCAUUAGCGGCCUACUGCAUCAUAACGGCAUCGGCAUGGAAUAUAUGGAACGAGCGCAACAGGAGGAUCUUUGGAAAUAAA